UAUUGGACAAUGGGGGGAACCCUGAUCCAGCGACGCCGCGUGAGUGAAGAAGUAUCUCGGUAUGUAAAGCUCUAUCAGCAGGGAAGAAGAGAUGGCGGUACCUGAGUAAGAAGCCCCGGCUAACUACGUGCCAGCAGCCGCGGUAAUACGUAGGGGGCAAGCGUUAUCCGGAAUUACUGGGUGUAAAGGGAGCGUAGACGGUGAUGUAAGGCUGGAGUGAAAGGCGGGGGCCCAACCCCCAGACUGAUUUGGAAACUGUAUGGCUGGAGUGCAGGAGAGGUAAGUGGAAUUCCUAGUGUAGCGGUGAAAUGCGUAGAUAUUAGGAGGAACACCAGUGGCGAAGGCGGCUUACUGGACUGUAACUGACGUUGAGGCUCGAAAGCGUGGGGAGCAAACAG
rnacentral:rRNA from 1 species